rnacentral:rRNA from 1 species
UACAUGUGGGGCAAGCGUUGUUCGGAAUUACUGGGCAUAAAGGGCGCGUAGGCGGCCUUCUAAGUCGAACGUGAAAUCCCCGGGCUCAACCCGGGAACUGCGUCCGAUACUGGAAGGCUUGAAUCCGGGAGAGGGAUGCGGAAUUCCAGGUGUAGCGGUGAAAUGCGUAGAUAUCUGGAGGAACACCGGUGGCGAAGGCGGCAUCCUGGACCGGCAUUGACGCUGAGGCGCGAAAGCCAGGGGAGCAAACGGG